rnacentral:lncRNA from 1 species
CUGGAUCUGCAGAUUGGAGGGGCCUUGGAAUAAUUCUCAACUAGCUCGUGGUUGGGGCAGACCCCUUCGCUGGAGACGACAUUGAGAUCAUGGUGGAGAGUGGGCAGAGGUCUGAUGCCCCAAGUCCUUCUCAGCAGAGGCAGCCUCUAUAAUGACCAGGGUGAGAGGAGAGGAAAACUCAUGUCUGGUGCCUUUAGAAAGGUGCGUGACUCUGGUCCAGCUCCAUUUGUGGCCAUCUACUGGCAUGAAAGUGAACUGUCAGGGGAGAGGUGGGAGAAUGGUGUUGCUGGUGCUGGGUUCAAACCCUGAAGCCACAAUGCGUGAUAGAAGGGGAGUGACUGAGGCUGGGGUGUGUGUGAACACUGCAGGCCUCACAGCACCUUUUUCUCUAACUGGAAUCAGGCCUUUCUCUCUGUCUCUGGGCCUCCCACCCCGAGAUCCGGGCUGUUGAAUUUGGGACAUGCGUGAGAGCUGGGGAAGUACAGGCAGUCCUUGGACAUACGACAUGAUUGGUUCCUGAAAAUUGCGCCAUAGGUCAAAAUGUCAUAACUCAGAACUGCAAACCACUCCAUUGUGUGACUGAGCAUCAUAAAGUCGAAACCAACGGCAUAAGUUGAAUCAGGGUGUCAGUACAGAAACUUGUAAGUUGUGUUUGGUUGUCGUAAGUCGAACAUCGUAAAGUCAAGGACUGCCUGUAGAUGGAUCCUCUGCGUAGGGGGAGGUGCUUGUCCUGACCUUCUCCACAAUGUUUACCAGAGAUGUGCAGCGGCCCUGGGAGCAGGAGGAUAAGGAGAUGAAAAGCCACUGCUUCUUCCAGGUACCGAACCACAGGAUGGGAUUUAGAUAGACAUUAACUAUCCCUUCCUAGGCUCCUCACAGACUUCCCCUGCAUUCUUCUCUGCUCUUGUUUCCUCCUCCCCCACUCCCUCAUUGCUCCUUACACUCCACCUAAGCCUCCAUGCUCGGCCUCCCAUUUUCAUCUUGAUGCCUUCUCACUUUCAUGCAGCCCUGAACUUGUCUCCAGCUUCUUAUCUGCCCAGACCCACCCUCUCUUCAAAUCCCUCUGUCAGCCCCACUUUAUAAUAGUCCUUUGCCUUCUGAAGCACCUCCCAGGGGCUUGGAGAACUUUGCAGAUGCUCAUUAAUUAAGCCUUGCCAGUCUCAGGUGGAGUUCCACCACAGAUGAACUUGAUCUGUAAUCUCUACAGUUAUCAUGCACCAAUUAAGCCAAGAUCACUUAUUAUAUUUCUUUCUUUUGAACUGUUAGAGAGAGUUGCCAUACUACCUGAGGCACGAUCAGAGCUCAGAACCCAGUGACAAUCCCUAGUGUGAGUAUCCUGAGUUGUGUAUGGUUUUGCAUAGUGCAGCUUUUAAAUUUUUUCAGCUCAUAAGGUCUGCUACUAACACUGGUCUACAAUUUUUUAGAAGUCGUCUGCUUCAUAGAUAAAAUGU